rnacentral:rRNA from 1 species
UACGAAGGGGGCUAGCGUUGCUCGGAAUGACUGGGCGUAAAGGGCGCGUAGGCGGAUGGCACAGUCAGAUGUGAAAUUCCCGGGCUUAACCUGGGGGCUGCAUUUGAUACGUGUGAUCUAGAGUGAGGAAGAGGGUCGUGGAAUUCCCAGUGUAGAGGUGGAAUUCGUAGAUAUUGGGAAGAACACCGGUGGCGAAGGCGGCGACCUGGUCCUUGACUGACGCUGAGGCGCGAAAGCGUGGGGAGCAAACAGG